rnacentral:rRNA from 1 species
UGGGGAAUUUUGGACAAUGGGCGAAAGCCUGAUCCAGCAAUGCCGCGUGUGUGAAGAAGGCCUUCGGGUUGUAAAGCACUUUUGUCCGGAAAGAAAUCCUUGGCUCUAAUACAGUCGGGGGAUGACGGUGCCGGAAGAAUAAGCACCGGCUAACUACGUGCCAGCAGCCGCGGUAAUACGUAGGGUGCAAGCGUUAAUCGGAAUUACUGGGCGUAAAGCGUGCGCAGGCGGUUUGCUAAGACCGAUGUGAAAUCCCCGGGCUCAACCUGGGAACUGCAUUGGUGACUGGCAGGCUAGAGUAUGGCAGAGGGGGGUAGAAUUCCACGUGUAGCAGUGAAAUGCGUAGAGAUGUGGAGGAAUACCGAUGGCGAAGGCAGCCCCCUGGGCCAAUACUGACGCUCAUGCACGAAAGCGUGGGGAGCAAAACAGGAUUAGAU